rnacentral:rRNA from 1 species
AGUGAACGCUGGCGGUAGGCCUAACACAUGCAAGUCGAACGGCAGCACAGUAAGAGCUUGCUCUUACGGGUGGCGAGUGGCGGACGGGUGAGGAAUACAUCGGAAUCUACUUUUUCGUGGGGGAUGACGUAGGGAAACUUACGCUAAUACCGCAUACGACCUACGGGUGAAAGCAGGGGAUCUUCGGACCUUGCGCGAUUGAAUGAGCCGAUGUCGGAUUAGCUAGUUGGCGGGGUAAAGGCCCACCAAGACGACGAUCCGUAGCUGGUCUGAGAGGAUGAUCAGCCACACUGGAACUGAGACACGGUCCAGACUCCUACGGGAGGCAGCAGUGGGGAAUAUUGGACAAUGGGCGCAAGCCUGAUCCAGCCAUACCGCGUGGGUGAAGAAGGCCUUCGGGUUGUAAAGCCCUUUUGUUGGGAAAGAAAAGCAGCAGGUUAAUACCCCGCUGUUCUGACGGUACCCAAAGAAUAAGCACCGGCUAACUUCGUG